rnacentral:rRNA from 1 species
UAGAGUUUGAUCCUGGCUCAGGAUGAACGCUAGCGAUAGGCCUAACACAUGCAAGUCGAGGGGCAGCACAUGCGUAGCAAUACAAUGGUGGCGACCGGCGCACGGGUGAGUAACACGUAUGCAACCUACCUUCAACAUUGGAAUAACCCGUUGAAAGACGGACUAAUACCGAAUAAAACAGGGGCACCUCCUGGUGAUAUUUGUUAAAGAUUUUAUCGGUUGAAGAUGGGCAUGCGUAUGAUUAGUUAGUCGGCGGGGUAACGGCCCACCGAGACGACGAUCAGUAGGGGUUCUGAGAGGAAAGUCCCCCACAUUGGAACUGAGACACGGUCCAAACUCCUACGGGAGGCAGCAGUGAGGAAUAUUGGUCAAUGGGCGGAAGCCUGAACCAGCCAAGUAGCGUGCAGGACGACGGCCCUAUGGGUUGUAAACUGCUUUUAUGCGGGGAUAAAGUGGGCCACGCGUGGCCUUUUGCAGGUACCGCAUGAAUAAGGACCGGCUAAUUCCGUGCCAGCAGCCGCGGUAAUACGGAAGGUCCGGGCGUUAUCCGGAUUUAUUGGGUUUAAAGGGGGCGCAGGCCGCCGGGCAAGCGUGUUGUGAAAUGCAGUCGCUCAACGUCUGCACUGCAGCGCGAACUGCCCAGCUUGAGUGCGCGCAACGUUUGGCGGAUUUCGCCGUGUAGCGGUGAAAAUGCUUAAAAUAUCACGAAAAA